AUUGAACGCUGGCGGCAGGCCUAACACAUGCAAGUCGAGCGAGAGGCGGAAGGGUGAGUAAUGUAUGGGGAUCUGCCUGAUGGAGGGGGAUAAGUACUGGAAACGGUAGCUAAUACCGCAUAACAUAAGCUGAACCCAUAUGGGAUUAGCUUGUAGGUGAGGGAAAGGAUCACCUAGGCGACGAUCCCUAGCGGGUCUGAGAGGAUGAUCAGCCACACUGUGACUGAGACACGGCCCAGACUCCUACGGGAGGCAGCAGUGGGGAAUAUUGCACAAUGGGCGCAAGCCUGAUGCAGCCAUGCCGCGUGUAUGAAGAAGGCCUUCGGGUUGUAAAGUACUUUCAGUCGGGAGGCGUUACCGACAGAAGAAGCACCGGCUAACUCCGUGCCAGCAGCCGCGGUAAUUC
rnacentral:rRNA from 1 species